GGAUGGACCUGCGGUGCAUUAGCUAGUUGGUAGGGUAACGGCCUACCAAGGGCGAUGAUGCAUAGCCCGAGUUGAGAGACUGAUCGGCCACAUUGGGGACUGAGACACGGCCCAAACUCCUACGGGAGGCAGCAGUAGGGAAUCUUCCACAAUGGACGCAAGUCUGAUGGAGCAAACGCCGCGUGAGUGAAGAAGGAUUUCGGCUCGUAAAAAGCUCUGUUGUUGGUGAAGAAGGACAGGGGUAGUAACUGACCCUUUGUUUUGACGGUAAUCAAUUAGAAAGUCACGGGCUAACUACGUGCCAGCAGCCGCGGUAAAU
rnacentral:rRNA from 1 species